GUGCAGCAGGCGCGAAUACUUUACAAUGUGCGAAGCACGAUAAGGGAACUCUGAGUGCCUCCUACGGAGGCUGUUCAGGUGCCUAAACACACCUGAAGGAAGGGCUGGGUAAGACCGGUGCCAGCCGCCGCGGUAACACCGGCAGCCCAAGUGGUGGCCACGUUUAUUGGGUCUAAAGCGUCCGUAGCCGGCUCGGCAAGUCCCCUGGGAAAUCUGGCGGCUCAACCGUCAGGCGUCCAGAGGAUACUGCUGGGCUUGGGACCGGGAGAGGUGAGAGGUACCUCAGGGGUAGGGUGAAAUCUUGUGAUCCCUGAGGGACCACCAGUGGCGAAGGCGUCUCACUAGAACGGGUCCGACGGUCAGGGCCGAAAGC
rnacentral:rRNA from 1 species